AAAUCAAUGGCCCUGUCCUUAAUCAAAUACCAACACACCCCUAAAUUUCUGCCCGCUAAUCAUAUAUUGAAAUCAUGUUCGCUUCUACAUUUCUUAGGUUUUCCACAUUGCAGCAACGAAGCGGCAAAAGAUUGAUCUGCGCGGCAUUUUCUGCCGCCGGAAGUUCUGGUUCAAGCAGGGUAUGUAAACCCAUAUGAGGUGAUUUGUAGCAGUAGUAGUAGAUUUAUUUUUCUGAGAUUUUACUGUUAUUUCUGAAAAUGAUGUUCGAUUCUGCGCCUCAAAUAAAAGCUAUGAGUUUGUGUAAUCGAACUCAUCAAGGCAGCUUACUCGAAAAAGCGCAAGGAUGCCGAGAGGAGGAGUGAUGAAGCUGCAGCAGCUCAACUGGAAAAAGCGUAUGAUGGUGAAACAUUUGGUUCAUUUAAGGUUUUGAAAGAUAUAAAGUAUGCAGAUAAGCUACCAGUCAUUCCAUGGGGACCAAGCAGCUACUCUGAUGACCUAUGUGCUACGGAUUAUCAGCAGCGCAUUGGUCAUCUGAUCAAAUUUCAGACAGCAUGUCUAUCGGAUAUUUGAGAAGUUAAAAGCAACUGUUGAACCUCCUGCAUCUUCGACAUUUAGCUGCAGGAAGAGGGUGGUGAGGAUGAAGGGAGGAUGUUGAGAAUGGGUAAAAGGCUGCUUCGAUCUCUUUCACUGGUUAGCUUUUGCCUCUCUGGGCUACACUGGUGUUUUGAAUGUGAUCGAAUAUGCACCUGGCUUUGUACCUGUUUUCUUGUACAUCAACCAGG